GUCAGGACAAGCAGAGGCACACAGUCAGCAUAUAGAGGGAGAGAGAGAGACAAACACAGGAGAUGAGAGAGAAAGGAACCGUGACAGUGACAAAGUAUGAAGAGAAAUUACAUUGUCAAACAGAGACAUUUUUGAAAAUGUAUUUUAGAAAGAGAUAGUGAGGAAAAAAAAUUGAAAUACAGACAAACACACUUAGGGGUGUGUCAUGGCAAUUUAGUUCCUCAAGGAAGUACAACAGGAAAUUAUCUUGAGACAGGGUGGUAAGCAGCACAGACUGAAGCGAUACAGAGGAUUUUCUUUUGUUUUCACUGGGUAAGAUGAGGGGAUUCCAUUGACACUCUGUGCUGACAAACAACACGUGCUCUGGGGACUGAAACAUUCGACACACAGGAGAGUGGAGGACUCAGACACAGUCAGAGUCAUGCUGGAACAGGUACACACGGAACACUAACAGACAUGGCUUUACGACCGGAGAGCUUUAUGCUGGAGAUUGCACAAUGAAACACUGAAUUGGGUGUCGUCUUCAACAACAACUCUUCAAAGACUGAGAAUGCUACAAAAUCUGAGAACUCUUGAAUGACAAACGGCCAGCAUUCAACCACAAGCAUUCAUGGAAUAAACACAAUCAGUAAAACACCAAUGAAGUGGUACUUUUGUGAUGUACUGUGUUAUUUAGCCACACACAGUCUGAUCUGGAAAAAAACAUAAAGGAGUGCUGAGAGAGAAUAGCAGGAAAUUGGGAAAGAAGGGCCUGGGCCUACACAUAGGAUAAUGGCAACAUGAGUUUGUGGACUAGUCAGAAUAUUCUAGAAACAGUGGAUGUGUCAUGUUUACUGCAGCAUGGCACCCUGCAUCCAACUGGUUCUCAAUUCAGGUCAACCCAUGUGUGGGAGAUCAGGUAUUUCUGGAUGUGGUGUUGGAGGGCAGUAUCCCAAUUUCCCUUGGGCUGUGAAGGGGACAUUGUCUUGCGUAGAGUGUCAUCUUGCAGAUGGUUAAAAGGCUGAUCUGAAUGUGUGUGCUCUCUAAGGUGGCCAUUGCACUUAUCAUGAGUAACCCAGAUGUCCUGACUACAUUUUCCAUCAGGACAUCAUAUCACCAUACACCUGAACAUUCCUAGGUUCCAAGUGGUUCAUUCUUGCCCUCUCCUAAAAAUCUAAAAGACUAAAUGUGAAAAAGGUAGUAAAUAUAAAUUACUUAAUGUGAUAAAUGUAUGCAAACAAAUACGUUGCGCUGGAUAGACCCCAUAUCAACUGGAGGGGGACUACAAUACUCAGCGGGUCUCGGUCUGACAGAAGUGAUGAGAGCAUCCAGGGUUAGUCGUGGACAUCAUGCUUCUAAUGGCUGUAGUAGAAGUCAACAUCUGUCCAGGCAAGUCAAAGGGACUCCCGAAGUCCUGUGAAAGUCCAAAGGAUUUACCGCCACAAACACAUACACACAGACACACCCGUACAUACACACACACACCCUCACAGACACUCUAGGUCUGUGCUGAAUCUGUGGAAUGCUAAAUAUUUACCUCACCCGUAUGCCUGCCUGCCUGUGCGGAAUCCUCCAAUCAGCACUAUCUCCAGUCUGUCAAGCAUAGCUCUCCUGGAUUCACCCAACCUGGCCUCAACUGGAGUCAAGGAAAACUCACAUUUUUUUUGAGUCAAAUGUAUCUCUUGAGUGCUUUUCAAAAUAUUUGCACAUGGC
ensembl:lncRNA